rnacentral:misc_RNA from 1 species
UCCCAAUUAUCUCGGGCAGUCCCCUGUGACAUGUAAAACACAGGGCAAGGGUUACGUUCGUUACCCGAAUUAACGGUACGUCUCAAGACACGAACUGACGACAACCAUGCAGCACCUGCCCAACUGUCUUGCGAAGUUCUACUUUCAUAGAAUGGUCAGUUGGGUUUCUAGCCUAGGUAAGGUUCUUCGUUUGUUGUCGAAUUAAGCCACAUGGUCCACUACUUGUGUGAGUCCCCGUCUAUUCCUUUGAGUUUUAAACUUGCGUUCGUACUUCCCAGGCGGGAUGCUUAACGCGUUAGCUUCGACACUGGCAGGGUCGACACUGCCAAUAUCCAGCAUCCAUCGUUUACAGCGUGGACUA